UACGGAGGAUCCAAGCGUUAUCCGGAAUUACUGGGCGUAAAGAGUUGCGUAGGUGGCAUGGUAAGCGAAUAGUGAAAGCGUGCGGCUCAACCGCAUAUCCAUUACUCGAACUGCCAAGCUAGAGGAUGAGAGAGGUAGAUGGAAUUCCUAGUGUAGGGGUAAAAUCCGUUGAUAUUAGGAGGAACACCGAUGGCGUAAGCAGUCUACUGGCUCAUUCCUGACACUCAGGCACGAAAGCGUGGGGAGCAAACGGG
rnacentral:rRNA from 1 species